rnacentral:misc_RNA from 1 species
UCGAAUCCUUAGGAUGUUGCUGGCCUUCGGGCAUGUGCACUCCGCCUUUCAAUACACCUGUGAACUCAUUGUAGGUGCAGAUGUAACAAAUCUGUUGCCUACGUUUUUUAUAAACACUAAAUGUUUAUUGAAUGUAAUGAUGUUGUCAUAACUUAAUA